GGGGAGACGGAGGUUGCGGUGAGCCGAGAUCGCGCCACUGCACUCCAGCCUGGGCGACAAGAGCGAAACUGUCUCAAUAAAUAAAUAAAUAAAUAAAUAAAAAUACAAGAAAGGAAAAAGAAAUAUUGGAGGGGACUUGGGGUCCAGGGCUGGGCAGGGCUGAAGGCGUAAACAUGUGAGAGUCUGGAGCCGGAUGAGGUCACGAGAAGACAGGCGGGACAGGGACAGCGCCGUGGGUGCCACUCGAGACACAGGGUGGGCGGGGCCGGCCAGGCCUGGAGCUGGCUGCCACCGGCUGCGGCAGGAGGGAGCUGGCUGCCGCCAUUUCAGUGGAGGGUGGCGACAACCCCAGUCUGGAGGGGGCUGAGACCUGUGCUGGGGGCCGCCCGGGGUAGAUCCUGUCUUGAAGAGUUCAAAGCCAUUUUCUGCACUUGGCCCCAUGGCCUCUGAGCUCAGAGUUCACCCCUCAUGGAGCUGGAAGGGACGGUUUCUAGAGAGGCCUCCAUGCUUGGACCAGGAUGAAAAUCCUUCACCAUCUUCAAUGCAACAAGCUGUUCACGGACCCCCAGUGCCAUUCUCUCAUUCGUGUGUUCAGGCGUCCCUCAUGCCCUCACUCAUUUAUUCAGCCCAUGUGUUCACUGGGGGCCCCGUGCAGGGCUGGGGACGCUGCCAUGGAGGAGGCGGAGGCACCCUUGCCCCAGAGGGAGCUCCUGUGAAUUUCACUGCCAGCAGCUGGGAGGCUGUUCCAGGACCGCAGACGCCAUUGUAACCCACGCACCCGCAGAGGCCUGUCUAUGAGCUCCUGUCGUGCUCUGGGUCUCCCCAGAAGCCGGCCCUGAAGCAAAGAUUCAUGCCAGUGAGGCAGGCAGAGGCACCGGAGCCAUGGAAACAGCACAGACCACCUGUCCUGCCCCAGCUCCGCUCCCGCUCGGUUGCUUUCUCUGCCUCUGUGGACCUCCUGGUGCGCUGGCCCUAUCCCAGCUGGGCCCUGGGCAGAGCAGGACUCACUGUCUUGCCCCCGCCCACCCUGGGACUUCAGCUGGGCCCAGCACAGAGAGAGCCAAGGGGUUUCUGGAGCUCUGGAGUCCCUCCACCUGCUCUCAGCACUCACCAGACGCAAGCUCUGUGGACCAUGGGGACUGAGGGCUCCUUCCUCUGCCCCCCGGCACUCCUUCCCCCAGCCACUCUCCUGGGGAGGGGCCAGGGAUGAGGCCAGCUCAGGGAAAUACUCUCUGACCUGAGUUGCCCCAACAGGAAAUAGGCUAUCUUGAAAGGUGGUGAGUUCCCUGUCAUGUGAGGCAUGCAAGGGUAGACUCCUAGGGCUGCUAUAAGGGAAUCUUUAUUGUAUGGGAGGGGACAUUAAUGGAUCGAGUGAGUAUAGAAAGAGUUCUUUCUUUUGUUCAUUCAUUCACUCCAUUUAUUGACUGACUCAUUGAUUCAUUCAGAAAACACCAGUGGUGUGGCAUCCAUCCUCUGGCCUAGGCUGGGUGCCAGGUGCAGAACAUUCAACCGUGAGACUGCAGUCAUGACUCCUGCUUUCAUGGCAGGCAGAG
rnacentral:lncRNA from 1 species